ACUUCUGUUUCCCCAACCAAAGACUUUCUACUCUAAUCUGCUUUUGCUUGAAGCCCUUCUUUACCCACUUCUUUUAGAACUCCAAAGAAGGCUUGAACAACGCCAAAUCGGAAGCCCUAAAGAACCUUCUUCCUUGUAGUAUGCCAGCCAGUUCCCGGUCACCAAGCCAACAAUUUCAAUCCUUGAGAACCCUGCGCGUCAACAAUACCUUUGUGUUUUAACGGCUAAUUUCCGCGCUUUACCGCUUCUUCAAAGAUACUUGCACAUGGUAUUAUCCCAAAUGAGUGUGGAACCAAUUCAUGGGAAAGCUAAAUAUUGGAUUAAAGGAUAGUUAUUUGGAGCUCUUAAAAGUCAUUUAGACGACAGCAACAAAAAUUGGAUUACAGCAACGUUGUUUACAAUUUGUGCUCUUACAUCUACAAUGAGACAACCGGUUGAGGAGUCAAGCAAGAAUUCUUUAAGAUGUUAUGAAAUGCCUUGGCGACAAUGAAAAGCAAAUGCGAGAGUGCACUUUGAUUACUUUAGACUCUUGGCUUGCUGCUGGCCAUCUUGACAAAAAGGUCCCUUAUGUAACUGCUGCUCUCAAGGACACUAAGUUUGGUGGGUAAGGGCGCAACGAUCCUUUUGACUGGUUGUCAAGACAACUUGCUGGACUAUCCGAUUUUCCUCAUGCUAUACAUCUGUUAAAACCCUCUACAUCUGCUAUGAUGGAUAAAUCAGCAGAUGUUCGUAAAGCUACUGAAGCAUGCUUUAAUGAAAUAUUCAGGGUUUGUGGACUCGAAAUGACAUGUGACAAAAAAUUUGAAAAAUGUACAAGGUUCGGCUCUAGCUAUUGUUAUUGUUGUGGAACCAUUGAAACUGUAUAGGGUUUUCCGAAAACUUCGAAUCUGGUAGAUUGAUUUCAGCAGCCAUAACAUCCAAAACCGUGUCAAAGGUUGGAAAAUCAAAUGCUUAUGGUGAUCGUGCAUUUUCAUCAGGGCAAGGGAAAAUAGUUGCAUCUUCAAGAGGUGCUCCUACCAAAGGCGCAAGACAAGAUUGAUCGUGUGUGUUCACGACAUCAACAAUCAGUCAAAUGCGUUUCUGAAUGUGAAGGAUUCAAACAAGGUAUGAUAAAUUCGGCACUUGACAUACAAGAUACUUGCUCAUGGUAUUAUCCCAAAUGAGUGUGGAACCAAUUCAUGGGAAAGCUAAAUAUUGUAUUAAAGAUACUUGCACAUGGUAUUAUCCCAAAUGAGUGUGGAACCAAUUCAUGGGAAAGCUAAAUAUUGGAUUAAAGGAUAGUUAUUUGGAGCUCUUAAAAGUCAUUUACACGACAGCAACAAAAAUUGGAUUACAGCAACGUUGUUUACAAUUUGUGCUCUUACAUCUACAAUGAGACAACCGGUUGAGGAGUCAAGCAAGAAUUCUUUAAGAUGUUAUGAAAUGCCUUGGCGACAAUGAAAAGCAAAUGCGAGAGUGCACUUUGAUUACUUUAGACUCUUGGCUUGCUGCUGGCCAUCUUGACAAAAAGGUCCCUUAUGUAACUGCUGCUCUCAAGGACACUAAGGUUGGUGCGUAAGGGCGCAACGAUCAGCAGAUGUUCGUAAAGCUGCUGAAGCAUGCUUUAAUGAAAUAUUCACGGUUUGUGGACUCGAAAUGGCAUGUGACAAAAAAUUUGAAAAAUGUACAAGGUUCGGCUCAAGCUAUUGUUGUUGUUGUGGAACAAUUGAAACUGUAUAGGGUUUUCAGAAAACAUCGAAUCUGGUAGAUUGAUUUCAGCAGCCAUAACAUCCGAAACCGUCUCAAAUGCGAGAGUGCACUUUGAUUACUUUAGACUCUUGGCUUGCUGCUGGCCAUCUUGACAAAAAGGUCCCUUAUGUAACUGCUGCUCUCAAGGACACUAAGUUUGGUGGGUAAGGGCGCAACGAUCCUUUUGACUGGUUGUCAAGACAACUUGCUGGACUGUCCGAUUUUCCUCAUGCUAUACAUCUGCUAUGAUGGUGUUUUCUCCAGCAAAGAUAAAUCAGCAUAUGUUCGUAAAGCUGCUGAAGCAUGCUUUAAUGAAAUAUUCAGGGUUUGUGGACUCGAAAUGGCAUGUGACAAAAAAUUUGAAAAAUGUACAAGGUUCGGCUCAAGCUAUUGUUGUUGUUGUGGAACAAUUGAAACUGUAUAGAGUUUUCAGAAAACAUCGAAUCUGGUAGAUUGAUUUCAGCAGCCAUAACAUCCGAAACCGUCUCAAAUGCGAGAGUGCACUUUGAUUACUUUAGACUCUUGGCUUGCUGCUGGCCAUCUUGACAAAGAGGUCCCUUAUGUAACUGCUGCUCUCAAGACACUAAGUUUGGUGGGUAAGGGCGCAACGAUCCUUUUGACUGGUUGUCAAGACAACUUGCUGGACUGUCCGAUUUUCCUCAUGCUAUACAUCUGCUAAAACCCUCUACAUCUGCUAUGAUGGAUAAAUCAGCAGAUGUUCGUAAAGCUGCUGAAGCAUGCUUUAAUGAAAUAUUCAGGGUUUGUGGACUAGAAAUGGCAUGUGACAAAAAAUUUGAAAACUGUACAAGGUUCGGCUCAAGCUAUUGUUGUUGUUGUGGAACAAUUGAAACUGUAUAGGGUUUUCAGAAAACAUCGAAUCUGGUAGAUUGAUUUCAGCAGCCAUAACAUCCGAAACCGUCUCAAAUGCGAGAGUGCACUUUGAUUACUUUAGACUCUUGGCUUGCUGCUGGCCAUCUUGACAAAAAGGUCCCUUAUGUAACUGCUGCUCUCAAGGACACUAAGUUUGGUGGGUAAGGGCGCAACGAUCCUUUUGACUGGUUGUCAAGACAACUUGCUGGACUGUCCGAUUUUCCUCAUGCUAUACAUCUGCUAAAACCCUCUACAUCUACUAUGAUGGUGUUUUCUCCAGCAAAGAUAAAUCAGCAUAUGUUCGUAAAGCUGCUGAAGCAUGCUUUAAUGAAAUAUUCACGGUUUGUGGACUCGAAAUAACAUGUGACAAAAAAUUUGAAAAAUGUACGAGGUUCGGCUCAAGCUAUUGUUGUUGUUGUGGAACAAUUGAAACUGUAUAGAGUUUUCAGAAAACAUCGAAUCUGGUAGAUUGAUUUCAGCAGCCAUAACAUCCGAAACCGUCUCAAAGGUUGGAAUAUCAAAUGCUUAUGGUGAUCGUGCAUUUUCAUCACGGCAAGGGAAAAUAGUUGCAUCUUCGCGAGGUGCUCCUACCGAAGGAGCAAGACAAGAUUGAUCAUGUCUGUUCACGACAUCAACAAUCAGUCAAAUGCUUUUCUGAAUGUGAAGGACUCAAACAAGGUAUGAUAAAUUCGGCACUUGACAUACAAGAGUUUGUCUAUGCCCAUGUAAUUUCAGCACUUCUAGAUAAUUGGAUUUAAGCUCUCUUGAAGAUGAUCUUGACACAAGAAAAGAUCUGUCGAGAAACAAUGUUGUUGAAGAUGAUCUCAACACAAGAAAAGACUUUUUCUGUUGAAGAUGAUCUUGACACAAGUUCAAGGACAUUUGGAGCCCUCUGUUGUAGAGACUAGUUUGUAAAUUAGAAUAUUAAUGUAAAGACUAUUUCUUUAGCCAAGGAAAUAAAAGUUUUGAUCAAAAGAUUUUGAUAUUUGUUACUCCAAAACUUGUUUCUAUACUUUUAGA